CCUAUACUUCGGCGAGCGGUCCCCUAAUUGGGGCCCAAAGCCCCAGUUGCGGCAAGUGGUUUCGCGUUUUCGCGGCCCCCCUUCCCGGCUGGUGCCCAUGAACGCUUGGAGGUUUCGGCCGCCGGUCGUUCAUGGGGCCCAACGGCAGGCUCUCCGGCCUGCUGCAGGGGUGGACCCACCACCUCGAUCCCGUCCCUCGAGGAACGUCUCGAUGA
rfam:Cyanobacterium BACL30 MAG-120619-bin27 contig01713_1_120619-bin27, whole genome shotgun sequence.